CUUCCCUCGUAGUAUACUCGUACAUAAAAUAUUAACCGCUGGAUUGAUUAGAUCAUUUAGAAAAAGACAAAAGAAAAUACUCCAUAGGAAAGAAAGGGGAGAAAUAGCAAAAUUCCCAGGUAUCCCAGCGUAAUUGUGCCCAAGAAAGGGAAUAGGGAUUGCGUGUGGUGGUGCGCCGUCGAUCUCGUCCCUCUUCCUCG
rnacentral:lncRNA from 1 species